GGGGCUGUCACUUAGCAGUAGAGCAUGUAUUUAGCAUGCACAAGGCCCUGGGUUCAAUCCCCAGCACCACUA
rnacentral:tRNA from 1 species